rnacentral:rRNA from 1 species
GACGAACGCUGGCGGCGUGCCUAAUACAUGCAAGUCGAGCGCAGGAAAUCGACGGAACCCUUCGGGGGGAAGUCGACGGAAUGAGCGGCGGACGGGUGAGUAACACGUAAAGAACCUGCCCUCAGGUCUGGGAUAACCACGAGAAAUCGGGGCUAAUACCGGAUGGGUCAUCGGACCGCAUGGUCCGAGGAGGAAAGGCGCUACGGCAUCGCCUGGGGAUGGCUUUGCGGUGCAUUAGCUAGUUGGUGGGGUAAUGGCCCACCAAGGCGACGAUGCAUAGCCGACCUGAGAGGGUGAUCGGCCACACUGGGACUGAGACACGGCCCAGACUCCUACGGGAGGCAGCAGUAGGGAAUCUUCCACAAUGGACGAAAGUCUGAUGGAGCAACGCCGCGUGAACGAUGAAGGCCCUCGGUUCGUAAAGUUCUGUUGUAAGGGAAGAACAAGUGCCGCAGGCAAUGGCGGCACCUUGACGGUACCUUGCGAGAAAGCCACGGCUAACUACGUGCCAGCCGCCGCAGUAA